rnacentral:rRNA from 1 species
CAGUAGCCGCGGUAAUACGAAGGGGGCUAGCGUUGCUCGGAAUUACUGGGCGUAAAGGGCGCGUAGGCGGCGCUCCAAGUUAGGCGUGAAAUUCCCGGGCUCAACCUGGGGACUGCGCUUAAGACUGGAGUGCUUGAGGAUGGAAGAGGGUUGUGGAAUUCCCAGUGUAGAGGUGAAAUUCGUAGAUAUUGGGAAGAACACCGGUGGCGAAGGCGGCAACCUGGUCCAUUACUGACGCUGAGGCGCGAUAGCGUGGGGAGCAAACAGGAUUAGAUACCCCCGUAGUCCUGUCUCUUAUACA